UUGUGUGAAGUACCGUAGACAGUAGGUGUCAGUUUGACUUAAUUUCCUACCGAGGACUUAGAAUAAGUUUUCUAAUGCUCUAUACGGUAAGUAUA
rnacentral:sRNA from 1 species